rnacentral:tRNA from 1 species
GGCCCCAUCGUCUAGCAUGGUCUAGGACAGGUGGUUCUCAGCCAUCAGACUGGGGUUCAAAUCCCCAUGGGGCUACCA